rnacentral:rRNA from 1 species
GACGAACGCUGGCGGCGUGCUUAACACAUGCAAGUCGAACGGAAAGGCCCUGCUUUUGUGGGGUGCUCGAGUGGCGAACGGGUGAGUAACCCGUGAGUAACCUGCCCUGGACUUUGGGAUAACUUCAAGAAACUGGGGCUAAUACCGGAUAGGAGCUCCUGCUGCAGGGUGGGGGUUGGAAAGUUUCGGCGGAUGGGGAUGGACGCGCGGCUUAUCAGCUUGUUGGGGGGGUAGUGGCUUACCAAGGCUUUGACGGGUAGCCGGCCUGAGAGGGUGACCGGCCACAUUGGGACUGAGAUACGGCCCAGACUCCUACGGGAGGCAGCAGUGGGGAAUAUUGCACAAUGGGCGGAAGCCUGAUGCAGCAACGCCGCGUGCGGGAUGACGGCCUUCGGGUUGUAAACCGCUUUCGCCUGUGACGAAGCGUGAGUGACGGUAAUGGGUAAAGAAGCACCGGCUAACUACGUG